CGCUGGGCGAGAUGCGGCGCAUUCUGGAGCUGCUGCGCUCCGGAGACACCGGUGCGGCGCCGCAGCCCACCGU
rnacentral:tRNA from 1 species